ACCUGGCUGGCUCAGUUGGAAGAGUAUGUGACUCUUGAUCUCAAGGUCAUGAGUUCGAGCCCUAUGUUGGGUG
rnacentral:tRNA from 1 species